rnacentral:rRNA from 1 species
CGGAGGAUCCAAGCGUUAUCCGGAAUCAUUGGGUUUAGAGGGUCCGUAGGCGGGUUUAUAAGUCAGUGGUGAAAGCCCAUCGCUCAACGAUGGAACGGCCAUUGAUACUGUAGAUCUUGAAUUAUUAGGAAGUAACUAGAAUAUGUAGUGUAGCGGUGAAAUGCUUAGAGAUUACAUGGAAUACCAAUUGCGAAGGCAGGUUACUACUAAUGGAUUGACGCUGAUGGACGAAAGCGUGGGUAGCGAACAGGAUUAGAUACCCUGGUAGUCCACGCCGUAAACGAUGGAUACUAGCUGUUCGGAGCAAUCUGAGUGGCUAAGCGAAAGUGAUAAGUAUCCCACCUGGGGAGUACGUUCGCAAGAAUG